UACGUAGGGGGCAAGCGUUGUCCGGAUUUAUUGGGCGUAAAGAGCGUGUAGGCGGUCAGGUAGGUCCGUUGUGAAAACUCGAGGCUCAACCUCGAGACGCCGAUGGAAACCAUCUGACUAGAGUCCGGAAGAGGAGAGUGGAAUUCCUGGUGUAGCGGUGAAAUGCGCAGAUAUCAGGAAGAACACCCGUGGCGAAGGCGGCUCUCUGGAACGCAACUGACGCUGAGACGCGAAAGCGUGGGGAGCAAACAGG
rnacentral:rRNA from 1 species